rnacentral:rRNA from 1 species
GACGAACGCUGGCGGCGUGCCUAAAACAUGCAAGUCGAACGGGGUCUUCGGACCCAGUGGCGAACGGUGGAGUAAUACAUAAGCAACGUGCCCUGAAGACUGGGAUAUACGAUGGAAACGUCGGGCAAUACCAGAUGUGGUUGGGAGGAGUCAUCUUCAUCCAAUUAAACGGAUUUAUUCGCUUCGGGAGCGGCUUGUGGCCUAUCAGCUAGUUGGUGAGGUAAAGGCUCACCAAGGCGACGACGGGUAGGGGGUCUGAGAGGAUGAUCCCCUCGAGUGGGACUGAGACACGGCCCACACACCUACGGGUGGCAGCAGUUGGGAAUCUUGCACAAUGGGGGAAACCCUGAUGCAGCGACGCCGCGUGGAGGAUGAAGGAUUUCGGUCUGUAAACUCCUUUUACAGGGAAAGACUUAGGACGGUACCCUGUGAAUAAGCUCCGGCUAACUACGUGCCAGCAGCCGCGGU